ensembl:lncRNA
UAGAAAUGUGACAUGAGACACCAAGCCCCACCAAAAACAGUUCAGCUCAUUUUAUCAUCUUCAAUAUUGAACAGCUAAAUCCAUUCUCAUUCAACACAGGAUUUGAGCACCUACUAUGAGUCCGGUAGAUGCUGUGCCACGAUGUGAAGGAUGAGGAAAGAAAUGAAAUAAAGAGAAUUAUAAUGCAAAACGGUUGCUUGAUGGGACCUGAAGACUUGGCAGAGUGGAAGGAGCCUGGAGGGUGAAGUUGCUCAGGCCUCAGUGUGAAGCCUGGCCCUGCGGCUCAUUAGCUGUGUGACUGUGGGCUGAUUUCCUAGCGUUUCUGAGGCUAAUAUGUGCUUCCCUCCCCGUUAGUCAUACAUUCCCUUGGUCGUAUCUUAGGUCUUUUCUUCACCUCUAACUACCAUCCCUGAAGUCUCAAUUUAGUACACUCCCCUCUGACCCACCUCACCUUGCUUUACUACCUCCACAGACGGUCUUUGACCUCACUGAAGCCUCCACCCCCUGCCCAAUCUGGACCAGUAGGGAAGUUAAACUGCUCCAGCUGAAACACCCCACAACGCAGUGGCUCGACCAACAUAGCAGUUUCUCUCUCAGGGAACAGCACAGGGCAGAUGUGCACAGUCAGUGAGUGCUUCUGCCACACACAGCCCUUCAGGGACCCGGGUCCUGUGGCAUCCUCCUGGAUUGAGCUGGGGAGAGGGUGGUGGAAGGGUGUGGAGGAGGCUCUGCCUGGUCUUAACGCCCCUGUCCAUUAGGGGCACACAUCGCUGCCGCUCAUGUUGGAGGGAUCGUAAUCACUUGGCCACUUAGAACAAACUAGAGAGCCUGGGAAAUGUGUGCCUGGCCUGCCUCUCGUGUUCACAUGCGGGGGAAUGAGUUUGGUGGACAGCUGGCUGUCGCCUCCCCUCAGGUCCUCUCCUCUUUCCUUAUUCAGCCCGGGUUGUAUAGCGUCUAUCGCUGUAGUCACUGUGUCGCAAUUGCCCUUAACUUCCUUGUUGCUCCACCUCCUCCAUGCUAAUUUAGAAAAACUGCAACUCUACACGUGUCUGUGUCUGAACAGCUGGAAAUUGCUGCAGAAAACCCACGUCUGUUCUUCAGUUCAGGACCACAAGCCUAAAGUGGACACUCAAGACUGCUGGGCAAUCCUCAUAUCCUUUCCUUGUUUGUUUCCUUUCCCAUUCCCUGAACUUGCUGUUUUACACUUUUACCUCCCUUCAAAACCCCUCCUCCCAUUUCUCACCCAUCACCUGCCACCUGCUUCGUGGCAGAAGUGAAACCAUCGGGUGGGAAUCCCCUCACCUUCCCCCAUCAGCCACAUGACUGCAUCUGUGCUCCUUCUCUGCCCUUCUGAAUGAGAUGUCUCUGCUUCUAUAAAAGGCCAGCUUCUCCACCUGUUCACUGAAGCCUGUGUCUUUCUCGCUUCUCGCGGUCUUUGCUUCUGUGAUUAUUUUCUCUCCUACAUCAUCUUUCUUUUGAUGGGCCAUUUCCAUUGGCAUAUCGAUAAGCUCUGUGAUCUUCUUUCUUUAAAAACUGCUUUGACCCCAAUUUCCCCUUGAGUUACUGCCCAUUUCUCUGCUGUUCUUCACAGAAAAACUUCUUGAAAGACUUGUCUAAAUUAAAUGUUUUCACUUCCCCAAAUCCUAUUUUUCCUCAACCCACUCCAGAUAGGUUUCUGUCCCCAUCACUUCACUGAAACUGCAGCUGUCUAGAUCACCAGUGAGUCCAUGUUGCCAAUACAGUGCUCACCUCUUGUCCCUCUUACUUAGCCUCCCAACAUUGGAUGUAACUGAUUUCUCUAUAUAUCAAGAAACACUUGCUUCUCCUGAUUUCCAGGACAGUGCAUGUUUCUGGUUUUCUUCCUCCUUAGUGAUUGUUACUUCUUGGUUUCCUUUGCUGGCUUCUUCUCCUCUACUCUACCUUUCUGUGUUGGAGUGCCCCAGCCCUCAGCCUUGGAUCCUCACCUCUUUUUCUCUAUAUAUUCUCUCUUUAGUUAUUUCAUCCAUUCCCCUGGUUUUAGAUCCUAGCUAUAUGCUGAUGUUUCUCAAAGUUAUAACUUCAGCCCUGACCCCUUCCUUGAGCUCCAAAUUCAUCUAUCCCAUGGCUUACAUGGCGUCUUUGUUUGGG